rnacentral:lncRNA from 10 species
UGGGAGCUCGGCGCAGGCCUGGCACACUGCACACUGAGGGGCUCUGUGGUCGGAAAUGCUGGGACUGCGAGAUGACCACGGGGACCCGGGAAGCGUGGCAUCUAGGAAAGACUAGGACCAGGAGGUCAAGGUCCCAUCCUUCCUGUUUGUAUCAGUCAGGCCUGGCAGGAAACAGAUGGACAGAUGGCACCUUCCCAAGGGUAACUGAGGAGAGUUUAAUGAUGGGGGGUUCCAGAAGGAAAAUGCUGCCGAGGGUACUGUGGAAAUGAGGCUGAAAAAGCCUUCUGUAUGAUGCAAAGGAUGGCAUGCUUCUAAGGAAUAAAG